rnacentral:rRNA from 1 species
UACGGAGGAUGCAAGCGUUAUCCGGAAUUAUUGGGCGUAAAGCGUCCGCAGGUGGUUGAGUAAGUCUGCUGUCAAAGCGCGAGGCUUAACUUCGUAUAGGCAGUGGAAACUACUAGACUAGAGUGCGGUAGGGGCAGAGGGAAUUCCCAGUGUAGCGGUGAAAUGCGUAGAUAUUGGGAAGAACACCGGUGGCGAAAGCGCUCUGCUGGGCCUGCACUGACACUGAUGGACGAAAGCUAGGGGAGCGAAAGGG